GCAUAUCAAUAAGCGGAGGAAAAGAAACCAACAGGGGAUUGCCUCAGUAACGGCGAGUGAAGCGGCAACAGCUCAAAUUUGAAAUCUGGCCCUAGGCCCGAGUUGUAAUUUGCAGAGGAUGCUUUUGGUGCGGUGCCUUCCAAGUUCCCUAGAACGGGACGCCAGAGAGGGUGAGAGCCCCGUACAGUUGGACACCAAGCCUUUGUAAAGCUCCUUCGACGAGUCGAGUAGUUUGGGAAUGCUGCUCAAAAUGGGAGGUAUAUUUCUUCUAAAGCUAAAUACCGGCCAGAGACCGAUAGCGCACAAGUAGAGUGAUCGAAAGAUGAAAAGCACUUUGAAAAGAGGGUUAAACAGCACGUGAAAUUGUUAAAAGGGAAGCGCUUGUGACCAGACUUGCGUCCGGUGAAUCACCCAGCUCUCGCGGCUGGGGCACUUCGCCGGCUCAGGCCAGCAUCAGCUCGCUGUCGGGGACAAAAGCUUCGGGAACGUAGCUCUCUUCGGGGAGUGUUAUAGCCUGUUGCAUAAUACCCUUCGGCGGGCUGAGGUACGCGCUCCGCAAGGAUGCUGGCAUAAUGGUCAUCAGCGACCCGUCUUGAAACACGGACCAAGGAGUCAACCUUAUGUGCGAGUGUUCGGGUGUCAAACCCCUACGCGUAAUGAAAGUGAACGCAGGUGAGAGCUUCGGCGCAUCAUCGACCGAUCCUGAUGUUCUCGGAUGGAUUUGAGUAAGAGCAUAUAGGGUUGGACCCGAAAGAAGGUGAACUAUGCGUGUAUAGGGUGAAGCCAGAGGAAACUCUGGUGGAGGCUCGCAGCGGUUCUGACGUGCAAAUCGAUCGUCAAAUAUGCGCAUGGGGGGCGAAAGACUAAUCGAACCUUCUAGUAGCUGGUUUCCGCCGAAGU
rnacentral:rRNA from 1 species